UCAAGUUGGACAGGUUUGGAUACAUUUGUUUGUUUUUCAAACAGGGACUGUGAAACUGACUAGAAGGAUUAAGACUAGGUUUGCUAUUAAUGCUUGCCUAUAUAACCACCCAAAAACUAAGUUUGUUUAUUUUUUUUAACUGAGAUAUGAAGCUGACUAAACUCUGACUAAGAAUCAUUAAGAUCCAGCUGGCUGAUAGCAUUGCCUUUAUUCUUUCCACAAAAUAAUUAAAACACAGCAGAUACUGAACAAGGUUUUGUUUACAUCCAGAAGCUGGGAGGCAUUGUGAUACAAGACUAAAGCUGAUCCAGAAACUGACUGUUCACAAGACUUAGUGUUGUAAAACAAACACACAAAGCCAAUUUUGCUCUCAUUUCGGAUGAACUGGCAACGGAAACAGAGAAAUGCCAAUUCAGCCCUCAGAAUGAACUGAUGUCAUGGAGCAAGCUGGCCCAGAGCUGAAAUGGAAACAUCAGAAACAAACAUAUCAUGAGAUAUGAAUCAUGAAUUAGAAGAAAGAGAAACUGAAAUUAAAAUUGCAGGAAGAAAUAUGAAGAAUGUCCGAUUUGCUGCAAUCUCUUGGUGAAGGUUAAAAAACAGCCUGCAGAACUGGCAGCAGAAUCGGGCAGUGAAGAGGCUGGGGAGGACAAUGGGCCAGUCCUGGAGCCAGGACUCUGCGUCGGAGGCAGAUAUGGGGCCAGGAUUAUCUGGAAGCGAUGCACGGACUCUGGAGCCUCCAGAAGCGGACAGUAGAAAGGCAGAGGAACAGAGGAGCCUGUUCCUAGUGCACACAUGCGAAGAGCUGCCAGAAGGCAAGAGCAGCUAAAGCAAAAAGGAUGACUCGGGAGUAACGCCAGGAGAUGACUGGCCCUUCCCAUAAGGCUUAAAAGAGCAGCAAUGGCUCUUGAGUUCUUUGUAGUAAAGCAAUGUUGCUGCAAUUGUUUCUUAUCUCCUAUUUCUGAACUUCAUGGGGUUCUUGCCAAGAAAAGCCUUUGGCAGGGUGCCAAAGAAGACAAAGGUUUGUGAUAAGGCCGAAGGAUUUUUUCUGAAGGACUUUGUUUUGGACUUAAUUUGGACAAAAUUGAGAAUGAAAUAAUUCUCAGCUGUUCUAAUAAAAUAUGUUUGCUUAG